AAAAACAUGUCUUUUUGUUUAAAAUAUAAAGUCUAACCUGCCCACUGAUAUAAUUAAAGGGCCGCGGUAUAUUGACUGUGCAAAGGUAGCAUAAUCAUUUGUCUCUUAAUUGGAGGCUGGAAUGAAUGGUUGAAUGAAAUAUUAACUGUCUCAUUUUUAAAAUUAUAAAAAUUUAGCUUUUAAGUUAAAAGGCUUAAAUAAAUUUAAAGGACGAGAAGACCCUAUAGAUCUUUAUAAUUAAAAUAUUUUUAUAAAAUAGAAAAAUAUUUAAUAAAAAUAUUUAAAUUAUUUUAUUGGGGUGAUAAGAAAAUUUAAUAAACUUUUUUUAAAAUUUAAACAUUGAUUUAUGAUUAAUUGAUCCAAUUUUAUUGAUUAUAAGAUUAAGUUACCUUAGGGAUAACAGCGUAAUUUUUUUAAAGAGUUCAUAUCGAUAAAAAAGAUUGCGACCUCGAUGUUGAAUUAAAGUAAUUUCUAAAUGCAGAAGUUUAGAAUUUAGGUCUGUUCGACCUUUAAAUCUUUACAUGAUCUGA
rnacentral:rRNA from 1 species